rnacentral:rRNA from 1 species
UACGGAGGGUCCAAGCGUUAAUCGGAAUUACUGGGCGUAAAGCGUGCGCAGGCGGUUUGUUAAGCGAGAUGUGAAAGCCCCGGGCUCAACCUGGGAAUUGCAUUUCGAACUGGCAAACUAGAGUCUUGUAGAGGGGGGUAGAAUUCCAGGUGUAGCGGUGAAAUGCGUAGAGAUCUGGAGGAAUACCGGUGGCGAAGGCGGCCCCCUGGACAAAGACUGACGCUCAGGCA